GGCGAGUCAUUAUGAUAUAAAUUUUCCAUGACUCAUAGACUCUUCAGAGUCCUUGACUUCUGACUCAAACCCAAACCAAACCAUGGAGAGCAACACAAACCCAUCUCGCUGAAAUCUUGAAACCAAACCCAUCUCGUUGAAAUCACUUCUCUAACGUCCUUAUGGAGAGCAACACAAGAAUCUCUGCACCCAAUUCCCUCCUUCGUCCCCUAACCCGUCUCACAACCGUCGCCGACCACCGAAUUUUUAACGGAGAUUGCGUUGAGUCCUAAUUGGACGGAGACUACGAUUUUCACCGGAUUUAUAUGUGGGUUUUGUUUAUCUUGAUUAUCGGAGGUGGAAGAAUCGAGCUGAUCUCAGAAUUGAAAAUGAUAGCUUCAUUUAGAUCUGCUUUUGGUUUUGUUUUUUAUUUUUGUGUUAUUUUUUUUAAAAGUAUAGUGGAUUUUCCAUAGCGAAUUUCUUUUUUACUGUUAAUGAUAUGCUGGUGGUUGGUGAUUAUUUCUGCUAUUGGGUUUUGGUAAUUUGUUCUGAAUGAUCAAAACUGGAUUAUUUUUUUUAAUUCGUUGAAGGCGAUCAAUUGAUUCGGCUCUCCCCCUUCGACUCUCUUAAGUUGGAUGUUGAUUCGGUUUUUAACCGAACUACCGAAAUUACAAUUCGAUAAUUUGGUAUUCGAUAAUUCGGUUAUUUUCAAAAUUCGGUUAUUAGUUUGGAUAGUGAAAUUAUCAUUACUUCGAUUUUCGAUUAUAACCGAAUAAUUUAUUCGGUUCGGUUAUAAUCGAAUGAUCACUCCUAAUAUUAGUUAUUCAAAAUUUCAUUUCAGUUUAUAGUUUAAACUUAUAAAUAUAUCUAAAUUAAUAAUAGAGUAAUGCUAUACAGACCGGUUUAUUGGACAUAUGCAAAUUUAUUUUUUUAUUUUUUUUUGCUUGUUACUCCC
rnacentral:lncRNA from 1 species